UAGGGAAUCUUCCGCAAUGGACGAAAGUCUGACGGAGCAACGCCGCGUGAGUGAAGAAGGAUUUCGGUUCGUAAAACUCUGUUGUUAGGGAAGAAAAAAUGUAUAGUAACUAUAUACAAAAGAGACGGUACCUAACCAGAAAGCCACGGCUAACUACGUGCCAGCAGCCGCGGUAAUACGUAGGUGGCAAGCGUUGUCCGGAAUUAUUGGGCGUAAAGCGCGCGCAGGUGGUUUAGAAAGUCUGAUGUGAAAGCCCACGGCUCAACCGUGGGUGGUCAUUGGAAACUAAUAAACUUGAGUGCAGGAGAGAAAAGUGGAAUUCCUAGUGUAGCGGUGAAAUGCGUAGAGAUUAGGAGGAACACCGGUGGCGAAAGCGGCUUUUUGGCCUGCAACUGACACUGAGGCGCGAAAGCGUGGGGAGCAAACAGG
rnacentral:rRNA from 1 species